UGUAUUUUGUUCCGAAUACUUGGACGUGGACCGAAAUUUCAGAGAUGUCUACCUCUGGAAACCCAAGCACCAGGCAAAGGAAUCUGCCAGUGUUUGAGAAAGACUAUGAGUGAAGUCAGCAAUGUUUUCCUGUGGUACGGUGCAAGGUUACUCAGUGUUGCCCGCCCACAUCGCUAUCUCCCCCACACACCGUUGCAAACUUUUCUGGACCUCAACAGAAUCAACACUGGGAAGGACCCUUUUCUUUGGCAGAGUUCAAAACACAUGAUGAGGUGCUUUCUGGCUUUUGGAAGCAGCGAGGCUUAGUGAUUUACAGCUGAUCUAAGAUUUGAAACGGACUUCUCUUUUCAACGGAGGGCAUAAGAAACCCAGGCAGCAGCUGGCUUCUAGGAAGAUACUGAGGAUGUCGCCACUACAAUAACCAUGUUGGGCCCUUGUUCCUGUCACCCAGAAACAUAUCCAUGAAGUGAUCCUUCAGGAAUAGCCGUGAAACCCCUGCCUUUGGGAACCAGCCAAGCCAGGGUGUGAUAUUUUUUCCUGUUUAAUUAAAAAAAAAAAAGUUUACCCGUUUGCUUUCGCCAGCUAUCUGAAAGUUCAAAAGGUAAAGAACAUUUCCCUCCACAAAUAAGCCAUGGAAUGUAUUUGGAAAUUGGGUUUUCAUCAGGAGUUGCUGUUUUUCAGCCACUCACUCCACUGCAAAGGAAGGUGAAAUCGUGAACUCUUUCCUGAAAGGAAAAAAAAAAAAAACUCCCGCAAC